UGGGGAAUUUUGGACAAUGGGCGCAAGCCUGAUCCAGCAAUGCCGCGUGAGUGAAGAAGGCCUUCGGGUUGUAAAGCUCUUUUGUCAGGGAAGAAACGGCUUGGGCUAAUAUCCUGGGCUAAUGACGGUACCUGAAGAAUAAGCACCGGCUAACUACGUGCCAGCAGCCGCGGUAAUACGUAGGGUGCAAGCGUUAAUCGGAAUUACUGGGCGUAAAGCGUGCGCAGGCGGUUUUGUAAGUCUGACGUGAAAUCCCCGGGCUCAACCUGGGAAUUGCGUUGGAGACUGCAAGGCUGGAGUCUGGCAGAGGGGGGUAGAAUUCCACGUGUAGCAGUGAAAUGCGUAGAGAUGUGGAGGUACACCGAUGGCGAAGGCAGCCCCCCUGGGUCAAGACUGACGCUCAUGCACGAAAGCGUGGGGAGCAAACAGGAUUAGAUACCCUGGUAGUCCACGCCCUAAACGAUGUCUACUAGUUGUCGGGUUUUAAUUAACUUGGUAACGCAGCUAACGCGUGAAGUAGACCGCCUGGGGAGUACGGUCGC
rnacentral:rRNA from 1 species